rnacentral:tRNA from 1 species
AAGCCCCGGAGCCCUUUGUGGGCUCGUCUUCAAACUUGCAAUUUGACGUGGACUCACUACGGAGCU